rnacentral:rRNA from 1 species
AUUGAACGCUGGCGGAAUGCUUUACACAUGCAAGUCGAACGGCAGCACGGGGGCAACCCUGGUGGUGAGUGGCGAACGGGUGAGUAAUACAUCGGAACGUGCCCAGUCGUGGGGGAUAACGUAGCGAAAGCUACGCUAAUACCGCAUACGAUCUCUGGAUGAAAGCGGGGGACCGCAAGGCCUCGCGCGAUUGGAGCGGCCGAUGGCAGAUUAGGUAGUUGGUGGGGUAAAGGCUCACCAAGCCGACGAUCUGUAGCUGGUCUGAGAGGACGACCAGCCACACUGGGACUGAGACACGGCCCAGACUCCUACGGGAGGCAGCAGUGGGAAUUUUGGACAAUGGGCGAAAGCCUGAUCCAGCCAUUCCGCGUGCAGGAUGAAGGCCCUCGGGUGUAAACUGCUUUUAUAUGGGAGAAACCUCUGGAUGCGUCCGGAGCUGACGGUACUAUAUGAAUAAGGAUCGGCUAACUUCGUGCCAGCAGCCGCGGUAA